rnacentral:rRNA from 1 species
UACGAAGGGGGCUAGCGUUGCUCGGAAUCACUGGGCGUAAAGCGCACGUAGGCGGAUUGUUAAGUCAGGGGUGAAAUCCUGGAGCUCAACUCCAGAACUGCCUUUGAUACUGGCGAUCUUGAGUCCGGGAGAGGUGAGUGGAACUCCGAGUGUAGAGGUGAAAUUCGUAGAUAUUCGGAAGAACACCAGUGGCGAAGGCGGCUCACUGGCCCGGUACUGACGCUGAGGAGCGAAAGCCAGGGGAGCAAACGGG